rfam:Mustela putorius furo unplaced genomic scaffold scaffold00153, whole genome shotgun sequence.
CGGGUUCCUGCUUCAACAGUGCUUGGACGGAACCCG